rnacentral:lncRNA from 1 species
GGCCUUGUGGAUCUCAUACUCGACAUUGCAGAUCUUACACUUCAUCAUCACUGCUCUAUUUCGAUAGCCCAAAAUGAUGGUCACAGAAACACAAACCAUGUAAGAGGUAUAUAGAAUAAAAUAUUCGAGUCAAUAGAGGAUAGAUGAGCUUUAACAAUAACUCUCGAGCAAUAACACUCACCUUGACUAUAGUAGUGUAUGCUGAACUAACAACAUUUUCUACUAUUAAGCUUCGAAGAUAUUGCACAUCCCGAUAGAGAAUAAUCCACCUCACCAUUUUGCUAGCAAGCUUAAGGGUACUAAGGACAGAGUCUACGACCCUAAGUGACUAUGUUGAAAUAAAAGGGUCGACUCAAUUUCUUGAGAUGACAAUAGAAGCUGCUAGGAUGAUGCAUCUAGAGCUUGCUAUGAGGUCAGCACAGUCGAGAUCUCAAAACCCAAGGUUAAAACUUGUUCUGCAUCGAAAGCCUAUUCCAAAGUAGUAGCUACCCGAUCAACAGCAAAUAGUGACUCUACAAGCCUAGUAGCUAGCAACCAUGGGAUCCAAGAUCAGAUCUACAGGUGAAUUAAUAGAUAGAUGCUUUAGGACCCCUGAGAAAGUUGUCAAAAUGAGAGGCUGAUCAGAAAGUGGGCUUCCACCUUUAUCUAGUACAGACAAAUUUCACUGAUGGAAAUUAAGCUGGCUUGUCUUCCCUAUCUUUCC